rnacentral:lncRNA from 1 species
CGAGGGAGAUAUUCUGAGGAAGUGGUGGUGGGGAUGGUAAUGUUGAAGAAUUUUGAGAUGUGGAUGUUGUCGAAGAAUUUUGAGAUGUUGAGGUGUGUGAUGAUGAUGAUGAUCUUGGCUCCCCCAUUGGUUGGUGAAUGAGAACAGGGAAGAGAAGAUCAAUGCCAUCAGAGAGAAAGAGAAAAGUUAAUUGGUUACAACAAGUUUUUAGAAUUGAGCGUUCAAGUUUUGUUUUGAGUUUUGCGGCUUAAGAUGGUUCUUCGGAACUUAAAUUUGUAUAUCAACCUGUUUCUUUCUCUUAAUUUUAUAACUACUCCUUAUUGAGCGUUUGAUGUGUAAUGCUUUAAAUAGAA